rnacentral:rRNA from 1 species
UACGUAGGGUGCGAGCGUUAAUCGGAAUUACUGGGCGUAAAGCGUGCGCAGGCGGUUUUGUAAGCCAGAUGUGAAAUCCCCGGGCUUAACCUGGGAAUGGCAUUUGGGACUGCAAGGCUCGAGUGCGGCAGAGGAGACUGGAAUUCCUGGUGUAGCAGUGAAAUGCGUAGAUAUCAGGAGGAACACCAGUGGCGAAGGCGGCUUUCUGGACGAUAACUGACGCUGAGACGCGAAAGCGUGGGGAGCAAACAGG